CCUACGGGUGGCAGCAGUGGGGGAUAUUGCACAAUGGGGGGAACCCUGAUGCAGCGACGCCGCGUGGGCGAAGAAGCGCCUCGGCGCGUAAAGCCCUGUCAGCAGGGAAGAAAAUGACGGUACCUGAAGAAGAAGCCCCGGCUAACUACGUGCCAGCAGCCGCGGUAAUACGUAGGGGGCAAGCGUUAUCCGGAUUUACUGGGGCGAAAGGGGGCGCAGACGGCGAUGCAAGCCAGGAGUGAAAGCCCGGGGCCCAACCCCGGGACUGCUCGUGGAACUGCGUGGCUGGAGUGCAGGAGGGGCAGGCGGAAUUCCUGGUGUAGCGGUGAAAUGCGUAGAUAUCAGGAGGAACACCGGUGGCGAAGGCGGCCUGCUGGACUGCAACUGACGUUGAGGCCCGAAAGCGUGGGGAGCAAACAGGAUUAGAUACCCUUGUAGUC
rnacentral:rRNA from 1 species